UCACUAAGUGUUUUCUUUUUCCAUCUAGGGAGCGGAGGGGGCCGCCACCAGCCUUACAUUCCGGCCUUUUGGUUUUGAUGGGCCCGCUCUUUCCGACUACUUCCUGCUAGGAGGGGCCUGGUCAGGGGCUCUAGGCGGGGCGGCUGUGGAGGGGCGGUUGGUAGUGGAAAGUAUGGAUGAAGAAGUAGUUGGUUUACGGCCACUCCUGUCAGCUCUUGUAGGCGGCGCUGGAGGAACUGCAAAAGACAGGGAACAAACAGAAAGAUUAGGCAGAUGAUGACACUGGGUCCUAUUAGCGGCAAUGGCCAGGUAGCCAAAGGGAAUUGUAUCCAGCCAAAGGGGGACGCAUCCCAGCGGCGGCGGUUGUGCAGGUCUUUACUCAGGUUGGUGAGCUUGUCUAUGUUCCGCUCCAUAAGGCCCGAUUCGCCAGCAUAGCAGCAGCAUUCUUUAUGAAGGAAAAGGCAGGUUUUUCUUUUUCCAGUCAUCAGCGGGUCUGCAAAAUCUUGGGCAGAAAUGACACCGUGGCCCAGGGCACCUCCCGCGAGCCCUGAGGCCACAAUGGAAGAGGCCAAGCUGAGACCUACCAUGACAGGUAGAAAGACGGCUAGUCUUGGCUGGGCUUCUGGGAGAAGCCAUCCAAACUCAGACUCACCGUAUAGAGUUUAUUGAGGGACCACCAUGACAGGGAAACAGGGACCCGGGGUGGAUGUAUUGACGCAGCGGGUAAGUGCUCCGUUGCACCAGAAGAACUGUCCCAGAGCAGAGGACGUGGCUGUGGUCACAGUAUGGUUGGUAAGGCGGCGUCCGUGAAGUUGUAGGCGGGGGCCAGUGCGGGAGGUGAGAAAGCGCACGCGGUCUGCGUAGGGCUGGCCUGUAGGCUCAGGUUCCCAAAGGGAACGCGAGAGAGCGGAGUGGAGCAUGAGGGAGCUGAUGAGGGAGUUUGGGGGUUAGAAUGGUUUAGAGGGACAGCAGCCAGCAGGGGCUGCUGAAGGGAGGCACAGAGGAAACAGUGGGAAAUAUUAGGGAUUAUUUCAGGGGAAUUUAGGAAGGUGAGGGUGUGCUGUAUGAUAUCUAACCAAGAGGUGAGAGUGGGGUUAUGGGGACGAGAAGGAGCAAGUUGUCCGGCCAGAGUCUGUUCUGCCUUCUGGGAAGCAGAGCCCUCGGGGAGGCGGGCGCCUCUGUAACCUGAGAGGCCGAGACAAGGGCAUGGGCUGCCUGGCGUUUGCCGUCAUCGCCCACGGUCGAGCCGCCAUCAGCAAACAGUGUUAAGUCUGCAUCUGAGCGGGGCUGGUCCGAGAGGUCGGCCUGGAGGUGGUGGCGGCAUCGACCGUCUCCGGGCAGGAGCGAGAGGAGAGGGUUAAGGACGGGAUGGGCAGCAAAGUAGCGGGGUUUAGAGUAGCAGACUGUGUUAGGGUGAUGUUGGGAUUUCCUAUGAAUAUGAGAUGGGAUUCCUGUAACCUAGAGGGAGUGAGGAGCGCCGACGAGCGGUGAGUCAGCAGAUCUUGGAGGCGAUGGGUGGAAAAGACAUGAAGGUGCUGUCCCAGGGACAGCUUCAGUGCUUCCCUGGUGAGAGAGGCUGCCACGCCCAGUGCCCUAAGGCCAGGCGGCCAGCCAGGACCGUGGUGUCUAGUUGUUUGGAUAAAUAAGCCACUGGAGCACAGGUGGGUGGGCUCCAGGAGCCUAAGGGCUGGGCGAGGACACCGAGGGCCAGGCCCUGGCGCUCGUCUGUGUAGAGGUGAAAGGGUUUUCAGGAUGAGGGAGUCUUAGAGGUGGUGCCUGGAGUAGAGUGUCACGAAGCUUUAGAAAUGCGAGGCCGACAGCUCGGGGGUUUAGUAAAGGGCCAGCGGGGCAUCACGGGCUGCCUCAUAGAGGGGUUUAGCAAGGAGGGAGAAGUUAGGGAUCCAGUGUCGGAAGAAACCAACAAAUCCAAGGAAAGACAAUGUGCUCAGCGGGCGUGGGUGGUUGGAGAUCGCGAAGAGCCCGUUGGCGGUCAACAGUGGGAUCCCGGGACGUGGGGAUAACAUCACUCUUGUGAAACCGAAAGCAGGUCUUUGAAAUACUUUCCAGACCCUGCAUUCCGGUGGACCAACUGACACAACAAGAUGAGUGGCCCAAGGAACCAAGUCAUCUGGUCUUGACACCUGGGAACUGACUCAGCACAAGAAGACAAUUUCUACUUCCUGAUCCUACAAGUUUAUCCCCAGCCAAUCAGCAGACCCAAUUCCCUAGCCCUUUGACCACCAAAGUACAUUUAAAAUCCCUUCUCCCAAAUUCUCAGAGAGAUGGAUUUGAUAUAUUCCUCUAUGUCCUCACAUGGUGCCUUUCUCCACUGUAAACCCUGCUGUCUCUGUGUACUGGCUUCCUUUUGAGCAGCAGGCAGUGUACCGGGUUGGGCUGUGACAUAUCAUUAUUGAUCCUUCAACAGGCCAGGCAUGCUCCCACCUAAGGACAUUUGAAUCUGCUUUUCAUUCUGCCUGUGUAAGAUACUGGGCUACAAGGACAAUAGACAUCUUCCAGCUUCUGUUUACUGCUUGCUUGCCAACCACAAGGCAUUAUGAGUAUGUUAUGGGAUGCAGAAGAAAAAGACAAAGAGAGCAAAAACCUGAGUCUCUCAGCUAAGACCCAGAACAAGUUAGGGCCUAUCAGAGGAAGGCUGAAGAUUUCCUCUUCGGGAAUGAGACAGACUCUGACGACGCCGUUGUCUAUCCUCCCCACUUGGGAUGGUUGCCAACAGUUGCUCAAGGUACUUUUUACAACUGAAGAGAAAGAAUCCAAGCAGAAGCACGGAAGCUGGUUCCAGGAGAGGACGGCACACCAUCAACCCCUGAGUCACCGACCAGACCUUCCCUCUCCAACGGCCGCCCUGGGACUACAAUGAGGCUGAAGGCAGGGGGCGUCUCCGGGUCUACGGCCAGACUCUGAUGGCCGGUCUCUGAGCAGCCACACGGAAGCCGACCAAUUUGGCUAAGGUAGGAGAUGUCCGUCAGGGGCCUGAGGAAAGUCCGGCAGCUUACCUAGAAAAAAAUUAUAGAAGCCUUUCGGCAGUACACUCCGAUAGAUCCCAGCGUAGAAGAGAGUAAAACGGCUGUCAUAAUGGCCUUUGUAAAUCAGGCAGCCCCAGACAUUAGGCGAAAGUGCAAAGGAUAGAUAGGCUGUGCGACAAAACUCCACAGGACUUGCUAAAAGUGGCAGAAAAAGUAUAUAAUAACAAAAAAUCACCCGAAGUUAGAGACACUAAGAUUAAAAGAUAGAAAAUUUCAGGCGGGCGAGGCGCGCAGGGUGAACAAAGAAAUGGCCAAAAUCCUACUCGCAGCUACGGGAGGAGGUCAGCUAGGGGCAAGAGGCCGGGAGUGACCCCGGAGGGAGAGGCUAGGCAAGGAUCAGCGCGCCAGUUGCAAGGAGCAUGGACACUGGGCUAGGAACCGCCCCAAGAAGAAGGGGGGAUGUAGAGCUAAAUCCUCCGAGAAGGUUAUGGUGGUGGGGCAAAUAGAAGAUGAAUGGAGGGGGACGGGGCUCGGUUCCCCUCCCCAAGCCCAGGGUAACUUUACUAGUGGAAGAGAGCCCAGUCAAUUUCCUGGUAGACACGGAGGCAGAACAUUUGGUGAUUACUGAGACCACGGGAAAACUGUCAAACAAGACUAGCUGGGUCUAGCAGAGGAGCGUGCAGGGUGGGCAAAGCAUCGGCCACCUCUAUACAUUGAGUUAAAACCAGGGGCUGAGCCAGCCCGAGUUAGACAGUACCCCAUGCCCCAGGAGGCUAGAGUGGGAAUAACGCCCCACAUUCGAAGGCUCCUAGACGCCGGGAUUCUCCUGAGGUGCCAGUCAGCCUGGAAUACUCCUUUGUUGCCAGUGAAGAAACCGGGUGGAAAGGAUUAUCAGCCUGUGCAGGACCUCAGGGAGGUCAACACGCAUGUCCUAGACAUCCACCCUACGGUUCCUAACCCCUACACCCUACUAAGCUCCCUUCCUCCAACGCAGAUUUGGUACACUGUCCUAGAUUUAAAAGAUGCCUUUUUCAGCCUAGCCGUGGCCCCGCACAGCCAAGAAAUACUUGCCUUUGAGUGGCAGGACGAAGAGAGAGGGAUCCAGGGGCAGCUGACUUGGACAAGACUGCCCCAGGGGUUUAAGAACUUGCCCACCUUGUUCAACAAAGCCCUUCACAAAGACCUGGAUGAGAAAAAGAAAAUAGCCAAGAGAGUGCUCACACUGGCACUAGGACCUUGGAGGCGCCCAGUGGCGUACCUGUCAAAAAAAAAAAAAAAAAAAGAAACUAGACCUGGUAGCAGAGGGAUGGCCGGCUUGUCUGCAAAUCAUCAAAUCAUGGCAGCUACUGCCUUACUGGUCAAAGACACCAAUAAGCUCACCCUGGGUCAGCAUUUGCAGAGUACCACGCCUCACGCCAUAGAGGGGAUCCUGAAGCAGCCGCCAGGGCGAAGGAUUACAAAUGCGAGGCUGACUCUCUACCAGGGGCUUCUGUUGGACACUCCUCGCAUUGAGUUCCGGACUCCUGCCAUCCUGAACCCGGCCACACUCCUGCCGGAUCCAGAGCCGGAAACACCUGAACACAGUUGCCUCGAGAUCCUGGCCGAGACCCAGAUGGCCAGGAAAGAUCUAAAAGACCACCCUCUUCCAAACAGCGACCUGACCUGGUUCACCGAUGAGAGCAGCUUUGUUCCGGACGGACACAGGUAUGCAGGGGCGGCUAUAGUGAAUGAGCGGGGCAAUCUUAUCUGGGCAUCACACCUCCCACAGGGGACAUCAGCCCAGAAGGCGGAACUGGUGGCAUUGACGGAAGCCCUCCGCAGGGCCCAAGGAAAGAGGCUGACGGUAUACACCGACAGUCGCUAUGCCUUUGGGACAGUACACAUACAUGGGGCUCUCUAUGAAGAGAGAGGUUUCAUCACGGCAGAGGGCAGAGAAAUCAAACAUAAGCCUGAAAUACUUCAGUUGCUAAAAGCCAUUUUGUUGCCAAAAGCAGUGGCAGUAGUCCACAUUCCGGGACACCAGAAGGGGGAUUCUUUUGAAGCCUGGGGCAACCCGGCUGCAGACACUGAGGCAAAAAGGGCUGCAGAGGAACCAGCACUAACAGAAGUUCUAUGUUUGAGCUUGCCACCUCCUGGGAUGGGAAAAAUGCCCCCCCCAACCAUAUUAUUCCAGCACGAAUAUAACCUGGGCCAAAGAAAAACUGCAGGCAACACAGAGUAAGGACGGUUGGCUCCAAGAUGGAGAGCAUCGCCUAGUAGUCCCUGAAGCCUUAAAAAACCUACUACUAGGACACUUGCACCAGACGAAGCAUCUGGGAAAAAGGAAGAUGCUACAGUUGCUGGACACUGCACAAAUCAGAUUCAAAUCACAAGGAAAGAUAGCAGAAGACAUUGUCCGGAACUGCCGUGUCUGCCAGGUUAUGCAGCCGGGGAGGAUCAGAGGGACCCAUGCAGGUACCAGGGAGCGGGGAAGGCAACCAAGAUUAUUUUGGGAAAUAGACUUUACAGAGGUACGGGCUGCCGGAGAGCAUAGGAUCUGACAAUGGGCCAGCCUUCACAAGUCAGGUUGACGGGGUAGCAACCUGGAUCCACCACUCCCACGUGAGACCGGCUGGUGAGGAUGAGCAGAAGCGACAGCAGGACGAGUGGAGGCGACAGCAGACCUCACAAAUCCACUAAAGACCAGGCUGACCCGUGUGGCAUCGGCAAAGUAAACGAGAAUAUUGACUCAAACUCUGAUAGAACUGCUGAUCGCCCUGCUAAGACUCGGACUGGGACUAGUUACCCCAAAGAUUGGGACUAAGCUGCAAAGAUGGGGUUGGGUAUUGUUCUAUGUUUCAUAUGCAAGUGCAUUAUGGAUAUCCUGCUCUUAGACCAGAGUUUUGCAGUUAUAAUUAAUAAUAAAAACCCACAUCUGCCAUAUAAACUUACAUAGAAAAUAACGAACUUAAAAACCCAUAAGGUAUACAAUAGCACCUCAAGGGCAGAGCCACUAAACACCUGGUAGCCAGAUUUAUAUUUCAACUUAGAAAAAGUCAGUGCCCUAGAAAAGCCAGCACAGACAGUAGCGAUAUCCUCAGGAGGCCCCGCUGCUGCCCCAAUCCCCUGUUCUUAAGUAACUAGACCAUAGAGGGAAGACUUAGAACGGACCUCUAUGAGCCGAAAUGGGUUUUAUGCCUGUCUGAGAUUCCGGCCCCCUCAGGAAAACCGUCAGUGUGGGGGUAUUAGAGGUUAUUAUUGUGCCAAAUGGUGGUGUGUGACCACAAAUGACGGGGAGUAGAAAUGGCAGGUACAACCUCUUUUCAUUAAAAUGUCCUAUGUCCAACCUUGUACUAGAGAUAGGUAUGCCAGAAACUGUAACCUGAUACAGAUAAAAUUUACAGAAGAGGGAAAGAAAAAUAAAAGGUAGAUGUCAGGGCUGUCCUGGGGAAUAUGCCUCUAUCAAAGGCCAUAUCUCUGCUCAAUAAUACAAAUCAAACUUAGUGGCUCCCAUCACAGGUGCUGUAGGGCCUACCCAGAGGUACAGGUAAAAAAAAAAAAAAAGCAGAACAGACCAACUCCGCAACCAACAGUCUUCUCUCCACAACUCGCCGGGGCAAAAAC